GUGAUGACCUGGCGACUUGUCCAGGGUGUACCCCACCUUUCGCCCGUAGUCAGCUGGGAUAGGCUCCAGCUUGCCUGCGACCCUGUAGAACAGGAUAAAGCGGCUACAGAUAAUGAGAUGAGAUAUAUUAAAAUAGUAGCAUUUUGUGGCAUUCAGGGUUUUUUUUUUACUCUAUCACUGGGCUUUCUAGACAGUUAUCAUUGCUAGCUACUUCUCAAGAAAAGGGAAUGUGUAAAACUUGGCCGUGAUCCAUUCGCAGCAUCUUUAGCCUGGUCAGGAUUUCUCUGCUGUAAAUUAAGCUACUAUUCAUUCAUCUAUUAUCUGUUGGGAAAGCUGGAGUCAAUCCCAUCUGACAUCAGACUUUGGGCAGGUCACCAAUCUAUGGCAGGGCUAACACCGAGACAAACAACCAUUCAUGUUCACACCUAUGGGCAAUUUAGAGUAGCCAGCUGAUGGAAUCCCCAUGUCUUUGAACUGCUGGAGGAAACCCACACAGGCAUGAAAAGAACAUGUAAACAGAAAACAUAAACGCCCCAAUCAGCCAUGAGGUUUGAACUCUCUUGUUGUGAGGUGACAGUACUAUAAUUAAGCUUAAUUAAGUUAUUAAGUUAAUAAUUAAGCUGAUGACAGAACUAUAUGUGCAAUAAUUUUCCACGGUUAUUUUUAUUUUCAUUGUAUUUUCACUCCUCCUCCUUCCACAUUUUAUUUUUUUCAGAGACUGCAAGGUUUUUCCUUUCCCUGCAAAGACUGCAAUCGGAGACCAUCCACACUGGAUCUGCCUUAAUAUCAACAGAUCUUUGCUUAAGUGAUGCUGCCCUCUUCUGCUCCUCUGACCCACCUGAUCCAUCCUGAUGCCCUGCGUCUGGCUGGAGUCUCAUCAUAUCGCUCCUUUGGAGGACGGCUCCAUAUGGACAAUCGAAAGUCGCACUUAGAAGUUGGCUCUGGACACUUAGUUUUGCUCUGAUGGCUGAGGACUGCAAUCGCCAUGAUAACUUUGCAACUGCGGUUGUAAUGAACAGUUUUACACUCAAGUCUCCAUCAAUGAACAGUUUAAAACUUCAACAAAAUAGACUUCAUGCUAAAACUAUAAUGAAUUUCCUGGUUACGCAGUUGUACUUUGUGACUAUAUAGGACACAGUUAUAGAAGCGAGUUAUUUAUAAUCAUGUUAUCUGUUAUCACCCAGAUGAGGAUGGGUUCCCUUUUGAGUCUGGUUCCUCUCAAGGUUUCUUCCUCAUGUCGUCUGAGGGAGUUUUUCCUUGCCAGCGUCACCACAGGCUUCCUUAUCAAGGAUAAAUAAAUUUAUUAGGGAUAAAAUUAGCUCAUGUUUAAAGUCUUUAAUUUUCUGUAAAGCUGCUUUGUGAUAAUGUCUGUUGUUAAAAGCGCUAUACAAAUAAACUGACUUCACUAAUAA